UUAAUACUGGAUAGAUCAAAGGAACUGGAAUGUUCUCUGGUUAAAAACUCCGGUGCCCAAGGAUGGGUCUGCGGCCUAUCAGGUAGUAGUGGGUGUAACGUACCUACUAGCCUACGACGGGUAAGGGUUGUGAGAGCAAGAGCCCUGAGAUGGAUUCUGAGACACGAAUCCAGGCCCUACGGGGUGCAGCAGGCGCGAAAACUUUACACUGCGGGAAACCGCGAUAAGGGGACCCCGAGUGCCAGCACCCAGUGCUGGCUGUCCAGCUGUCCAAAUAACAGUUGUUAGCAAGGGCCGGGCAAGACCGGUGCCAGCCGCCGCGGUAACACCGGCGGCCCGAGUGGUAGCCGUUAUUAUUGGGUUUAAAGGGUCCGUAGCCGGCCUAUUAAGUCUCUUGGGAAAUCUGGCGACUCAAUCGUCAGGCGUUCA
rnacentral:rRNA from 1 species